AUUGAACGCUGGCGGCAUGCCUUACACAUGCAAGUCGAACGGUAACAGGUCUUCGGAUGCUGACGAGUGGCGAACGGGUGAGUAAUACAUCGGAACGUGCCCGAGAGUGGGGGAUAACGAGGCGAAAGCUUUGCUAAUACCGCAUACGAUCUCAGGAUGAAAGCAGGGGACCGCAAGGCCUUGCGCUCACGGAGCGGCCGAUGGCAGAUUAGGUAGUUGGUGGGAUAAAAGCUUACCAAGCCGAGGAUCUGUAGCUGGUCUGAGAGGACGACCAGCCACACGGGGACUGAGACACGGGGCGGACGCCGACGGGAGGAAGCAGUGGGGAAUUUUGGACAAUGGGCGCAAGCCUGAUCCGGCCAUGCCGCGUGCAGGAUGAGGGCCUUCGGGUUGUAAACUGCUUUUGUACGGAACGAAAAGACUCUGGUUAAUACCUGGGGUCCAUGACGGUACCGUAAGAAUAAGCACCGGCUAACUACGUGCCAGCAGCCGCCGUAAAAC
rnacentral:rRNA from 1 species